UGAUAGCGUUGGAUUACAUCCAAACGGCUAAGAAUCUGGCAGAUCCCUUUACUAAAGGGCUAUCACGUGUUGUGAUAGAUAGUGCAUCGAGGGAGAUGGGUAUGAGACCCACAUGAGUUGCCAUAGUAGUAACCCAACCUAUAUGAUUGGAGAUCCCGUGAAGUAGGACCUGGGAAAACAAGCCAGUGGUGAACUGAGGAGAGUAACUUUACUAACCCACUCCGUUGGAGAUGCAAUACUCUCGGGUACUCUAUGGUAGGAUGACUACUGUCUUAAUGUGUUCUAAAGCUUAUGUGUAAGCAAGAUGCUGUCCUACAGAGUGAUCUUUGGAGGAACACACCUAUAUG
rnacentral:lncRNA from 1 species